UACGUAGGGUGCAAGCGUUGUCCGGAAUUAUUGGGCGUAAAGAGCUCGUAGGCGGCUUGUCGCGUCGGCUGUGAAAACCUGGGGCUCAACCCCGGGCCUGCAGUCGAUACGGGCAGACUAGAGUGCGGUAGGGGAGACUGGAAUUCCUGGUGUAGCGGUGAAAUGCGCAGAUAUCAGGAGGAACACCGGUGGCGAAGGCGGGUCUCUGGGCCGUAACUGACGCUGAGGAGCGAAAGCGUGGGGAGCGAACAGG
rnacentral:rRNA from 1 species